rnacentral:rRNA from 1 species
UCCUAGGUACGAGAGGACCGGAGUGGACGCAUCACUGGUGUUCGGGUUGUCAUGCCAAUGGCACUGCCCGGUAGCUAAAUGCGGAAGAGAUAAGUGCUGAAAGCAUCUAAGCACGAAACUUGCCCCGAGAUGAGUUCUCCCUGAGACUAUAAGUCUCCUGAAGGAACGUUAAAGACGAUGACGUUGAUAGGCCGGGUGUGUAAGCGCAGCGAUGCGUUGAGCUAACCGGUACUAAUGAACCGUGAGGCUUAACCUUACAACGCCGAAG